GACGAACGCUGGCGGCGUGCUUAACACAUGCAAGUCGAACGGAAAGGCCCUGCUUUUGUGGGGUGCUCGAGUGGCGAACGGGUGAGUAACACGUGGGUAACCUGCCCUUGACUUUGGGAUAACUUCAGGAAACUGGGGCUAAUAACGGAUAGGAGCUCCUGCUGCAUGGUGGGGGUUGGAAAGUUUCGGCGGUUGGGGAUGGACUCGCGGCUUAUCAGCUUGUUGGUGGGGUAGUGGCUUACCAAGGCUUUGACGGGUAGCCGGCCUGAGAGGGUGACCGGCCACAUUGGGACUGAGAUACGGCCCAGACUCCUACGGGAGGCAGCAGUGGGGAAUAUUGCACAAUGGGCGGAAGCCUGAUGCAGCAACGCCGCGUGCGGGAUGACGGCCUUCGGGUUGUAAACCGCUUUCGCCUGUGACGAAGCGUGAGUGACGGUAAUGGGUAAAGAAGCACCGGCUAACUACGUG
rnacentral:rRNA from 1 species